AGAUAUAGAUUUAUAGAAUAGUCUACAUUCCACGAGUCAAUUUAUAAACAAAGCCUAAUGACUCAAAGUGCAAUCUUAUUGAAAUGUUUAAAUAUAUACUUAAUCACAGAUGUAUAAGGCCGAUUACAGCUAAAAAUAUUUGGUCCAUUGUGCUCUGAGCCCAGGUGUACAUAUUUUGGAUAUUUUCCAAAUGAAGAUAUAGGUAUGUCCAACAUUUUCGCUAAGUAAAUUAGCAUCAUUGUCGAAACGCUGUCGUGUCUGCAAUUAAAACAUAAUAAAAAAUUAAAAUAGUGUCAUUAUGACGUAGUUUUAUUAAAAAAUGCAAAAAGAACAUCAUUAUAAAAAUGAAUUUGUAUUGUAGUAUUGUUUUGUUUUUCACAUUUAUUUUGUCUACUCUAGAUGUGUUUUGGUUAUAUGUAUGUUUACAUUUCCUUGUAUCAAGAUAUAUGAAUCAAUAAAAAAAAGUCAAAAGGG